GGCAUUGUUGCCUAGUUGUUUGAGCAUUGGACUAUGGCUCUGUAGAUCUGGGUUCGAAUCCCCACUUGGCCA